rnacentral:misc_RNA from 1 species
UUGUGGAGGAGGACGCCGAAGGUGGGGCUAAUGACUGGGGUGAAGUCGUAACAAGGUAGCCGUACCGGAAGGUGCGGCUGGAUCACCUCCUAACAGGGAGACAAAAACUGAUUGUGAUGUCUGAGUUAAAUAAUCUCAGGCCGCAAUCCUGUCACCUUAGGUCGAUCGGUACCUCAGAUUAAUUAUCUUUUAUUUGGUGAUUAAUUUUAGUUCCUAAACUUUGUCUAGGUCACACUCAACAAUGGUUCUCCUGGGCCAUUAGCUCAGGUGGUUAGAGCGCACCCCUGAUAAGGGUGAGGUCCCUGGUUCAAGUCCAGGAUGGCCCAUUCGGCGUUGGGGGUAUAGCUCAGUUGGUAGAGCGCCUGCUUUGCAAGCAGGAUGUCAGCGGUUCGAGUCCGCUUACCUCCACUGAUAACCACCACGUAUCUCCGAUAUUUAGAGACUGAAUUAGUUGAUGUGAUUUAGACAAUCAUUACUGAAACGAACCUAGCUUUCUAUCAUUCCUAAACUAAUUAAAUAUUAGACAAGGUUGGUAACAAGCUGGGCUCACUUUGAUUCGAAAGAAUCUUAGCGAACCUCAGUAGAACCUUGACAACUGCAUAGAUUAGUCUGGAAAGAAUAAAGCAUCUCAUAGAUGCAUGAUUCUUUCUUUUCCGCUAAAGCAAAUUUUAUAAAUUAGCUUUUAGUAUGAAUUGAAAGAAUUAAUGUUCAAUUCUUAAGUAAUAGUCGAGACUCUAUAGGUAUCAAUACUUUUAUUAGUACAGCAUAUCUAUAGUUUUAAUGGUCAAGCUACAA